rnacentral:rRNA from 1 species
AGAAAUUGUAGAAUUAAUAAAUCAGAGUAGUAUUAGUUAAGGUCUUGAAACUCAAAAAAUUUGGCGGUAUUUUAGUCUAUUUAGAGGAACCUGUAGUAUAAUCGAUAAUCCACGAUGGACCUCACUUAAUUUUGUUUUUCAGUUUGUAUACCGCUGUUAUUUGAAAAUUUUAUAAGGAUAUUAAUUUUCAUAAUUUUAAAUUAAAAAAUAAAUCAGGUCAAGGUGCAGCUUAUGAUUAAGUAUUUAUGGGUUACAAUAAAAUUAUUUAAAUGGAUUAGAGCAUGAAAUUGUUUUUUGAAAGCGGAUUUAAUAGUAAAUUUUUAAAGAUAAAAUAAUUGAUU